CUGGGCAAAGAACUAUCUUUGCCUCAACUGCUGAGAGUAUGAAUGCUGUCUUUUCUGGAUGAGUGGGACACAAGGAAAAGUGACUACUAAACUUUGCCAAGACAUGAAAUUGAUGAAGACAUACUGAUAACUGUCUCUCUUGAGAGUCUCUGCACUGCAUGGCUGAGAAUGCUCACUCACGAGAGAUGGUAUGAGAAGACCUAGUAUCAACCCAAUGAGCUGAAGCCUGAAAAUGAAAGGCCAAGUGGAAUGAAAAGAGCAGCCCUCCAAGAAUGAUAGCCAAACAGGACAAAACGAGACACAGUAAGAUAAAGCAAAAGCCCUCAUGUCAAGGCUGGACAAGGCAACCUAAUAGGAGGAAGAGUCCCAACAGCAAGUAAAAGAGUCAGAAAGACACCACUCCCACUGUUAGGAGUCCCACAAAAACACCAAGAUUCUCUUUCAUAUAUGCAAGUUGAAGGAAGGACAACCAAGGCUCCAGUGAUCUCAGAUGACCACAGCCUCCACUCUAUGCACUGGGGCUUUGCAGAAAAAGGGAGUUGACUGACUUCUUAGUCACACGUAUUUGGAAUUUAGACUCUGCAACAGGACACUAUGGAGAGUUAGAAAUGCCUGUAUCUCACUCCUCCCUGAAAGGGAUGAAAUGUGACCAGCUGCCAUACACGCUUCCCCACCAUGAUGGAUUAUACCCUGGAACUCUGCUUGGAAUCCUCCUGGCUCUUAUAUGUCUAACAGGAACCAGCAAUCCAGAAAAGAAGUCUCAAAGCCAAUUUUAAUUCAUUGACUGGGAUUAAAUGUUUGCACUUGUAAAAUUCAAGUUUCUAUCAA